UUUUCUCUACUUAGUUCGAUUAUCUUCGAAUAAUUUAACCUACACAUUAGAUAUGGGUUGUCUGGAAAUUCAGCCUCGGAUAACAGGCCGUCCUUGAGCGGAAGUUAGAUGUUGCUGGUAGGAUACCCACCUUCAUAUACGAGGGUAAAAAUUAGUAGAAGACCGGCUAGGUGGAGUAACC
rnacentral:other from 1 species